AGAGUUUGAUCCUGGCUCAGGACGAACGCUGGCGGCGUGCUUAACACAUGCAAGUCAAGGGGGCCCAGCAAUGGGCAACCGGCGAACGGGUGCGUAACACGUGAGCAACCUACCGAACUGUGGGGGAUAGCCGGCCUAACGGCCGAGUAAUACCGCAUACGCUUUCAUUGAGGCAUUUCAGUGAAAGGAAACCUACGGGACAGAUCGAGGGGCUCGCGGCCUAUCAGCUAGUUGGCGAGGUAACGGCUCACCAAGGCUACGACGGGUAGCUGGUCUGAGAGGAUGGCCAGCCACAUUGGGACUGAGAUACGGCCCAGACUCCUACGGGAGGCAGCAGUGGGGAAUCUUGCGCAAUGGCCUAACGGCUGACGCAGCGACGCCGCGUGUGGGAUGAAGCUCUUCGGAGUGUAAACCACUGUUGCCCGGGACGAAUAGCUCGAUUAAUCGAGCCUGACGGUACCGGGUGAGGAAGCACCGGCUAACUCCGUGCCAGCAGCCGCGGUAAUACGGGGGGUGCGAGCGUUGUCCGGAAUCACUGGGCGUAAAGGGCGCGUAGGUGGUUUGAUAAGGGUGUGGUGAAAGUCCGGGGCUCAACCCCGGAUCUGCCGUGCCGACUGUCAAACUCGAGGGCUGUAGAGGCAGACGGAAUUCCGGGUGUAGCGGUGGAAUGCGUAGAGAUCCGGAGGAAGACCGGUGGCGAAGGCGGUCUGCUGGGCAGUUUCUGACACUGAUGCGCGACAGCGUGGGGAGCAAACAGGAUUAGAUACCCUAGUAGUCC
rnacentral:rRNA from 1 species